rnacentral:tRNA from 1 species
GGUGGCUCAGUGGUAGAGUGCUUGCCUUGCAUGCACGAGGCCCUGGGUUCGAUUCCCAGCACCA